rnacentral:rRNA from 1 species
CAGCAGCCGCGGUAAUACAGAGGGUGCGAGCGUUAAUCGGAUUUACUGGGCGUAAAGCGUGCGUAGGCGGCUAAUUGAGUCGGAUGUGAAAUCCCCGAGCUUAACUUGGGAAUUGCAUUCGAUACUGGUUAGCUAGAGCGUGGGAGAGGAUGGUAGAAUUCCAGGUGUAGCGGUGAAAUGCGUAGAGAUCUGGAGGAAUACCGAUGGCGAAGGCAGCCAUCUGGCCUAACACUGACGCUGAGGUACGAAAGCAUGGGGAGCAAACAGGAUUAGAUACCCGUGUAGUCCCUGUCUCUUAUAC